CCUUGUUAUUUUCUAUUUUCUGCAGGUACUGCUUUAUCAGGAGCUGGGGCAACACCCUAUGUUGCCUUUAGCUAUAUUAGUUUUCCCACUAAGCUGACCUCUAUCAUAGUCUCUUACUACAUUUAUUAAAGAUCGCCAGUCAUCAAAAUCCUAUUUAAAAUAACACUAUUGUUAUAUAAAAUCAUUGCUUCAGUUAAACAGUACCGCUUAUGAGGAAAUCAUCUUCAUGAUAAUUCACGGGUAAAAGUGCCCAGUAGAACAGGACAUUUAUUUCCAUGAGACAAUCACACUACAUUAAAGGCAGUGGAGAUCGCCCCCCACACCCAUUCACACCAUGCCAAACAGCAGGGGAGCACGGCAGCUGCAAACAAGGAAAGCCAGCAGUAACAAGAGACAUUCUGGGACCUUCGCCCUCCACACCUUGCCUAUCAGAGAUUCACCCAUCAGCGCCUCGCAUGCGGGUGGGCAGAUCCCCUGAAAUCAGCAGCCACCUGCUGCCCCUCUGACACAGCCACCGGCAAAAGAGAAGAUGAGCUGUCUGCACUAUGAAGACAGGUGGAACCAGAGGCGCUUCGGCGGUGAGGAAUUCCUGAUGUGAGAGCCACCCGAGACUGUGGUGAUGCCUUGGACCCCUGCUGCACCUGAGGGCCAUGUCUGGGUUUGUGGUCCUGAUGAAGCCAGGGUCUGUGGUGAUGUCAGUAGCCUACCACUGAAGACUUUGAGCAUGUCUGGGGUCUGUACUGCAGCGGGAAGCCAUAUUGAUGUCUGCGGGCCCCUCUAAGCCACCCUCUCCAGUCACCAAUGGUGGUACCAGCCUAGUAGUGGGCUUGGGAUAGCUGGGCAAAGGCAUGGGUGUGGGCGAGCUGGCCACACCCCUUGCCUGCUGACUCACCUAGGCAGAGUAGAAGAGCUCCCCUUGAAGGGCGAUCUGGAGGGUGUGAAAGGGCUGGCUGCCCGGGGUACGGGAUCCCCCAGGAAAACAGCAGGACAUCUGAGAGUCUCUAUGAGGGUCCAGUAUUGACAUUACAGAAGUCAGAGGCAGUGAACUAGCGGAAGGACUCAUUGCAAUGAACAUUCACAGGUAAAGCUGCGUGGGUUAAUUGGGCAAAAGGGCCCACUGCAUGACACACUGAAACCUCCAAUGCCAUUUGACGAACGAAUAUUUGAUGGAGAUGGGGGAAGGCAGGAAUGGAGUGGUUCAUGCACAGAGCGAAGCAGCUCAUAGAGGAGCACAUGCCUGACCAGAUGGGUUGGGGCAAUGGGAUUCUUUGGUUUAUUAGUUUCUUGUUUAUUAACUUUUGGGGGUGAGGCUACAAGAGUAGAGGUCAGAUACAGAAGGACUGGGAAAUGAAUUGGAUUGGAGUACACAAAGUGAAACACUGAAAGAUUCAAUUUUUAAAAUUAUGAUAAAAAGCAAAAAAAAGGAGAAAAGAAACUAGCAGUUUGGAUUUUGACUUACGAUGUCAUGAAGUUUAGAUUUAAGGAUCUAACUCAGUUCUUAUCUGCUGGACUGAAAAACAGUGUAGCCAACAUUGAAAGCAAUGAGGCAGGCUGGGUGUGGUGGCACAUACACUUAAUUCCAGUAAUUGGGGCACAGAAGCAUGCAGAAUACUGGGAGUUUGAGGCCAGCCUGUCUACAUAAUCAGUUCCAGGACAACAUAGACCCUGUCUCAAGAGAUGAAAACAAAAAAACAAACGAAAAUGCUAUCAAGCAGAGCUGGCAAGAUGCUACCAAGUAAAUCUAAUAACCUGGUUCUAUCACCCUGGAAUUUAUGGUGAAGAGAGAGACCUAGAGUCCAAAGUUGUCUUCUGACCUCCUCAUGCAUCCUGUGGUACUCAUGCCUUGUGCCCAUACUCCAGCAAUAAUAAUAUAUUUAAUAAUAAUAAUAAUAUGAAACAA